rnacentral:rRNA from 1 species
GAUGAACGCUGGCGGCGUGCCUAAUACAUGCAAGUCGAGCGAACAGACGAGGAGCUUACUCCUCUGACGUUAGCGGCGGACGGGUGAGUAACACGUGGAUAACCUACCUAUAAGACUGGGAUAACUUCGGGAAACCGGAGCUAAUACCGGAUAACAUGUUGAACCGCAUGGUUCAACAGUGAAAGACGGUCUUGCUGUCACUUAUAGAUGGAUCCGCGUCGCAUUAGCUAGUUGGUAAGGUAACGGCUUACCAAGGCAACGAUGCGUAGCCGACCUGAGAGGGUGAUCGGCCACACUGGAACUGAGACACGGUCCAGACUCCUACGGGAGGCAGCAGUAGGGAAUCUUCCGCAAUGGGCGAAAGCCUGACGGAGCAACGCCGCGUGAGUGAAGAAGGUCUUCGGAUCGUAAAACUCUGUUAUAAGGGAAGAACAAAUGUGUAAGUAACUAUGCACGUCUUGACGGUACCUAAUCAGAAAGCCACGGCUAACUACGUG